CAGAAGGUGUUGUACCUCUAUGGAAACGUCACCUAUAGACUUACAUUUGAGGUCAUCCCAGAGGUCAUCCAAGUGACUGAAGACUGUGGUCUGUGUUGGAUUCUGAUGUUCAGUCUGUGUCCUGUGUCUGUUCUCCUCUCUUCUCUCCUCUCCUCCUUCUGUGUUUACUCCUUCUGCAGAAAAACAGCUCCAAAUGAGACUUCAGUUCCUCUGAACAGGACGUCGACUAGGGGAAGUGACAGUAGAGAGAAGGAGGAAGAAGACCUGUGUUAUGCCUCAUUGGACAUCCGUCAAGGACAGAAGAGACCAAAGAAGAAGAAUAAAAUCCAGAACUCUGACUUCAGUACCUACUCAGCCAUCAAUACCAUGAGAGUGUGACCUACACCAGCCAUCAAUUCCAUGAGAGUGUGACCUACACCAGCCAUCAAUACCAUGAGAGUGUGACCUAUACCAGCCACAAUACCAGCAGACUGUGACAUAUACUAGCCAUCAAUACCAGCAGACUGUGACCUAUACCUGCAUCCAAUACCAGCAG
ensembl:lncRNA